CUUUUUGCAUUUCCUCAGCAUCCGGACUUUCCAAACCUUACCAACUCGACAACAAGUCGAAUCUAAACGAAGUCUAACUCUCGGAUUUCGAAAAUUCACUUCCUUACAUCCUCCCCACCUUAAAAGAGUUUCGUCCUUGAAACAAACUCAACUUAAUUAAACUUAAUUCAACUUAACCUUAAAUCAUACCUCAACUCAUUUCUCAAAUAGAUGAGGGUGAUUCG
rnacentral:lncRNA from 1 species